CACGGGGGGAGCAAGCGUUGUUCGGAAUCACUGGGCGUAAAGGGCGUGUAGGCGGUUCGGUAAGUGGGAUGUGAAAGCCCCCGGCUCACCCGGGGAUCUGCAUUCCAAACUGCCAGACUUGAGUAUGGGAGAGGAUAGGGGAAUUCCUGGUGUAGCGGUGAAAUGCGUAGAUAUCAGGAGGAACACCGGUGGCGAAGGCGCCUAUCUGGCCCAAUACUGACGCUGAGGCGCGAAAGCUAGGGGAGCAAACGGG
rnacentral:rRNA from 1 species